AGAGCGAACGCUGGCGGCAGGCUUAACACAUGCAAGUCGAGCGGAUGUAGCAAUACAUCAGCGGCAGACGGGAUAGUAACACGUGGGAACGCGCCCUUCGGUUCGGAAUAACUCAGGGAAACUUGGGCUAAUACCGGAUACGCCCUUACGGGGAAAGAUUUAUUGCCGAAGGAACGGCCCGCGUCCGAUUAGCUAGUUGGUGAGGUAAUGGCUCACCAAGGCGACGAUCGGUAGCUGGUCUGAGAGGAUGACCAGCAUCACUGGGACUGAGACACGGCCCAGACUCCUACGGGAGGCAGCAGUGGGGAUAUUGGACAAUGGGCGCAAGCCUGAUCCAGCCAUGCCGCGUGGAUGAUGAAGGCCUUAGGGUUGUAAAGUCCUUUUAACGGGGAAGAUAAUGACGGUACCCGUAGAAUAAGCCCCGGCUAACUUCGUGCCAGCAGCCGC
rnacentral:rRNA from 1 species